UGGCGACUCGUCGCUGGAACUCAUCCCGUACCGCUGUGUACGCGGGUGCAACUAGCCGGGUGAACACCGUGCCUGACAAUGUUCAGCAACAAAUUAAAGUAAGUUUUAAGUUUAAAUGUUCACAACGUACAAGUCACUUUAGAUAUGAUUUUAAUUUUAAGAUAAUUAUUAUAAUAGUUAAUAAUCUUAUCACAAUUUAUAUUUCGAUAAUAAUAGUGUGAAAGAUAUUAAUAUUUUUCAAUACAUUCUUAUUAAAUUCUAACAGUAUUAUAGUUAUGUUGUUCAUUUGUGCCUUUUUUUUUCAAUUGAUUUUUUUCUUUUUCUAGGAAAAAUACAAAGGAAAAAGAGAGGCUAUACUAUGUGAGGUGUUUUUCAAAAAAGGCAUGCGGGGCACCUCAUGGUGUGAGAGUGAUGUAUGUUCAUAUAACGUGGAGCAUUUUGACUCAAAGUUUGUUUCAAUUUUGCCUGAUUUCAUGCCUUUCAUUUGAGAAAAUAAAACAUGGGCAUUCAAUUCGACUUCCAUGUUGAAAAUUCGGACAUGGGAUAAGGAUACAAUCAUGCAACUACUCAAGAUACCACGCUAUGUUUUGCAACUAAAAUGGGAAAUAGGAAAAAGCCACACCAAGAUCUCGAGGAAAGUAAUCAUAUGAUCACCAUAUCUCAUAACACAUACUAAAAAUUGUAACUUUGCUCAAAGCAUAUAAAAAUUGUACCACUUUCAAAUUUCAAAUUCAAUUAUUUAAAGUAUUGUAAUUAAACUAAUCUUAUAACCUAAAUUGCAUUUUAAUCUUUGAAUUUUUCUCUUCUUAAAUGUCUAGGUAGAAAGGCAUUAAUACCAGAAUCAAAGACGGUGCCGGCUCCGGUGGCCGCAUUGAACGCCAACGCCUCAGGAGGAAUAUCGACAACUUUCCGACCAACCCUAAUUGCAAC
rnacentral:lncRNA from 1 species